GAUAAACAAUUUCAGAAUAAUGAAGAUUGGAAAAUAAAAUGUAACAACAUUAGGUUUUGACCAGCAAAACUAAUCUAUGACAGAACAAUAGCUAAAUCUUAAAGAAUUUGAACAAACCAAAGCAAGAGUAUUGGUUUAAAACAAUAUUAACAGUAAGGAUUAAAAUUAUCUAGCUUUCAGAAUUAACAUUAAGUUUUUACACCAGUAGAUUUAUAAAUCUUGUAGGAGUACAGCGGAUUGCAGAUGUUGAUGUGUGCUUCAGGUAAAAUAAGAACUGCCAAUGUGGAUUUUUUUCAUGCAGAACAGAUGUAUCAUGGAUGUGUAUAUGUAAGACAAGGAAAAUCUGAAGACAAAAUUAGAUAUACAUCUGAUUAUCGCCGCGCUUUCGGGCCGGGCCUCAGGCUAUGCGCUUUACUGUCAGGCAGGGCUCGACCUUGAAUUUGAGGUAUAGUUUGGGCUUGGGGCCAGCCUCGGGCUCCAUAUUUGCUAUUUCAAACCCAGACUGAAACCCAGCCCGGCCCGGAAAAUGCCCAGGUUUAGUAAAAAGGUUGUGUGGGUAGGGAGGAAAUUGGGGUCGCUGCUGUUUUUUCCUUUCUGCACAGUGCUGCGAUUUCCAUGGAGGCUGUGUAGAGAGGCGGCGUCAGGGGCGGUCAUCGGUUGGGAGCUAGACGGCUUGGGGGAUGUCCUCUGAGGGUGCUUGGCAGCUGGCGUUCGUCGGCUGGAAGUGGCGUUUUUCUGCCUCCUUCGGCUGCCUCCACGGCUUGCAGUGGUCCUGCGAAAUGGAUAAGCAUGGAUAACUGCGAAAUACAUAGUUCAUCCAUCCAGAAAGACAGAUGUUGACUCUGUAUCAUGCUAAUCUAGAGCAAGCAUCAGAAAAAUCCAAGCAAAUUAGUUUUUAAUCCCAAAAUUGCAGGAAGGACGUCAAAACAAGAAAUCAAGGAAGAUAAUUUCUCACAGGAAAGAUAGCAAG